rnacentral:rRNA from 1 species
UACGGAGGGGACUAGCGUUGUUCGGAAUUACUGGGCGUAAAGCGCACGUAGGCGGAUUUGUAAGUCAGGGGUGAAAUCCCGGGGCUCAACCUCGGAACUGCCUUUGAUACUGCAAAUCUCGAGUCCGGAAGAGGUGAGUGGAAUUCCCAGUGUAGCGGUGAAAUGCGUAGAUAUUGGGAGGAACACCGGUGGCGAAGGCGGCCCUCUGGACCGGUACUGACGCUGAUGCGCGAAAGCGUGGGGAGCAAACAGG